rnacentral:rRNA from 1 species
AGUGAACGCUGGCGGCGUGCUCAACACAUGCAAGUCGAACGAGAACGGAUUAUAGCUUGCUAUAAUUGUCAGCUAAGUGGCGCACGGGUGAGUAAUGUAUAGGUAAUAUGCCUCUUACUAAGGGAUAACAAAUGGAAACGUUUGCUAAUACCUUAUACUCCUUAUUAACAGAAGUUAAUAAGGGAAAGAUUUAUUGGUAAGAGAUUAGCCUGUAUUGUAUCAGUUAGUUGGUGGGGUAAUGGCUUACCAAGACUAUGACACAUAACUGGUUUGAGAGGAUGAUCAGUCACACUGGAACGGAAACACGGUCCAGACUCCUACGGGAGGCAGCAGUGGGGAAUAUUGCACAAUGGACGAAAGUCUGAUGCAGCAACGCCGCGUGGAGGAUGACACAUUUCGGUGCGUAAACUCCUUUUAUAUGAGAAGAUAAUGACGGUAUUAUAUGAAUAAGCACCGGCUAACUCCGUGCCAGCCGCCGCGGUAA